rnacentral:rRNA from 1 species
AGUGAACGCUGGCGGUAGGCCUAACACAUGCAAGUCGAACGGCAGCACAGUAAGAGCUUGCUCUUACGGGUGGCGAGUGGCGGACGGGUGAGGAAUACAUCGGGAUCUACUUUUUCGUGGGGGAUAACGUAGGGAAACUUACGCUAAUACCGCAUACGACCUACGGGUGAAAGCAGGGGAUCUUCGGACCUUGCGCGAUUGAAUGAGCCGAUGUCGGAUUAGCUAGUUGGCGGGGUAAAGGCCCACCAAGACGACGAUCCGUAGCUGGUCUGAGAGGAUGAUCAGCCACACUGGAACUGAGACACGGUCCAGACUCCUACGGGAGGCAGCAGUGGGGAAUAUUGGACAAUGGGCGCAAGCCUGAUCCAGCCAUACCGCGUGGGUGAAGAAGGCCUUCGGGUUGUAAAGCCCUUUUGUUGGGAAAGAAAAGCAGCAGGUUAAUACCCCGCUGUUCUGACGGUACCCAAAGAAUAAGCACCGGCUAACUUCGUG